rnacentral:rRNA from 1 species
AGCGAAACGGGAAGAGCCCAAACCAACAAGCUUGCUUGUUGGGGUUGUAGGACUCCAAUAUGGUAGUCUGUUAGUAUAGUUGAAGGAUUUGGAAAAUUCCGCUAAAGAGGGUGAAAGCCCCGUAGACGAAAUGCUGACAACACCUAGGAGGAUCCUGAGUACGGCGGAACACGAGAAAUUCCGUCGGAAUCCGCGGGGACCAUCCCGCAAGGCUAAAUACUCCCUAGUGACCGAUAGUGAACCAGUACCGUGAGGGAAAGGUGAAAAGCACCCCGGAAGGGGAGUGAAAUAGAUCCUGAAACCGUGUGCCUACAACAAGUCAAAGCUCGUUAAUGAGUGAUGGCGUGCCUUUUGUAGAAUGAACCGGCGAGUUACGAUUGCAUGCGAGGUUAAGUCGAAGAGACGGAGCCGCAGCGAAAGCGAGUCUGAAUAGGGCGAAUGAGUAUGUAGUCGUAGACCCGAAACCAUGUGAUCUACCCAUGUCCAGGUUGAAGGUGCGGUAAAACGCACUGGAGGACCGAACCCACGUACGUUGAAAAGUGCGGGGAUGAGGUGUGGGUAGCGGAGAAAUUCCAAACGAACUUGGAGAUAGCUGGUUCUCUCCGAAAUAGCUUUAGGGCUAGCCUCGGAAUUGAGAAUGAUGGAGGUAGAGCACUGUUUGGACUAGGGGCCCAUCUCGGGUUACCGAAUUCAGAUAAACUCCGAAUGCCAUUCAUUUAUAUCCGGGAGUCAGACUGCGAGUGAUAAGAUCCGUAGUCGAAAGGGAAACAGCCCAGACCACCAGCUAAGGUCCCAAAAUAUAUGUUAAGUGGAAAAGGAUGUGGGGUUGCACAGACAACUAGGAUGUUGGCUUAGAAGCAGCCACCAUUUAAAGAGUGCGUAAUAGCUCACUAGUCGAGUGACCCUGCGCCGAAAAUGUACCGGGGCUAAACAUAUUACCGAAGCUGUGGACUACACCAUUAGGUGUAGUGGUAGGAGAGCGUUCUAAGGGCGUUGAAGGUCGAUCGUGAGGACGGCUGGAGCGCUUAGAAGUGAGAAUGCCGGUAUGAGUAGCGAAAGACAGGUGAGAAUCCUGUCCACCGUAUGACUAAGGUUUCCUGGGGAAGGCUCGUCCGCCCAGGGUUAGUCGGGACCUAAGCCGAGGCCGAUAGGCGUAGGCGAUGGACAACAGGUUGAUAUUCCUGUACCAGUUGUUUUUGUUUGAACAAUGGAGGGACGCAGUAGGCUAAGGAAUGCAUGCGAUUGGAAGUGCAUGUCCAAGCAAUGAGUCUUGAGUAGAGUUAAAUGCUUUACUCUUUAAGGACAAGUUGUGACGGGGAGCGAAAUAAUAGUAGCGAAGUUCCUGAUGUCACACUGCCAAGAAAAGCUUCUAGUGAGAAAACAACUGCCCGUACCGUAAACCGACACAGGUAGUCGAGGAGAGUAUCCUAAGGUGAGCGAGCGAACUCUCGUUAAGGAACUCGGCAAAAUGACCCCGUAACUUCGGGAGAAGGGGUGCUGACUUCGGUCAGCCGCAGUGAAUAGGCCCAAGCGACUGUUUAUCAAAAACACAGGUCUCUGCAAAAUCGUAAGAUGAAGUAUAGGGGCUGACGCCUGCCCGGUGCUGGAAGGUUAAGAGGAUGGGUUAGCUUCGGCGAAGCUCAGAAUUGAAGCCCCAGUAAACGGCGGCCGUAACUAUAACGGUCCUAAGGUAGCGAAAUUCCUUGUCGGGUAAGUUCCGACCCGCACGAAAGGCGUAACGAUUUGGGCACUGUCUCAACGAGAGACUCGGUGAAAUUUUAGUACCUGUGAAGAUGCAGGUUACCCGCGACAGGACGGAAAGACCCCAUGGAGCUUUACUGUAGUUUGAUAUUGAGUGUUUGUACCACAUGUACAGGAUAGGUAGGAGCCGAUGAGACCGGAACGCUAGUUUCGGAGGAGGCGCUGGUGGGAUACUACCCUUGUGUUAUGAACCCUCUAACCCGCACCACUAAUCGUGGUGGGAGACAGUGUCAGAUGGGCAGUUUGACUGGGGCGGUCGCCUCCUAAAAGGUAACGGAGGCGCCCAAAGGUUCCCUCAGAAUGGUUGGAAAUCAUUCGAAGAGUGUAAAGGCAGAAGGGAGCUUGACUGCGAGACCUACAAGUCGAGCAGGGACGAAAGUCGGGCUUAGUGAUCCGGUGGUUCCGCAUGGAAGGGCCAUCGCUCAACGGAUAAAAGCUACCCUGGGGAUAACAGGCUUAUCUCCCCCAAGAGUCCACAUCGACGGGGAGGUUUGGCACCUCGAUGUCGGCUCGUCGCAUCCUGGGGCUGUAGUCGGUCCCAAGGGUUGGGCUGUUCGCCC